GGCCUGGUGGUGUAGUGGUAGCACAUCCUCUUCAAUUUAGCUUGGACAAUGAAAAGUUUGGAGGAAGACCCCUGUUCAAUUCAGGGCCAGGCCA